AGAGUUUGAUCCUGGCUCAGGACGAACGCUGGCGGCACGCCUAACACAUGCAAGUCGAACGGAGAAAAUGAUUUCGGUUAUUUUCUUAGUGGCGGACGGGUGAGUAACACGUGAGGAACCUGCCUUUGAGAGUGGGAUAGCUCCUGGAAACGGAUGGUAAUACCGCAUAACAUAGCGAAACCGCAUGAUUUUGCUAUCAAAGUAUUUCGCUCAGAGAUGGCCUCGCGUCUGAUUAGAUAGUUGGUGAGGUAACGGCUCACCAAGUCGACGAUCAGUAGCCGGACUGAGAGGUUGAACGGCCACAUUGGGACUGAGACACGGCCCAGACUCCUACGGGAGGCAGCAGUGGGGGAUAUUGCACAAUGGGGGAAACCCUGAUGCAGCGAUGCCGCGUGGAGGAAGAAGGUUUUCGGAUUGUAAACUCCUGUCGUAAGGGAAGAGGAAGGACUGUACCUUACAAGAAAGCUCCGGCUAACUACGUGCCAGCAGCCGCGGU
rnacentral:rRNA from 1 species